GCGAGGGUACCCAAGCGGUCAACGGGGAAGGACUCAAGAUCCUUUAGUGUAGACUUUCGUGGGUUCGAAUCCCACCCCUCGCACCA
rnacentral:tRNA from 1 species